CUCCCGGCUGCCUGUCCUCCCGCAUGACUCGCCCCCUGCUCCGUCCAGGUGAGCAGCCCCAGCACGGAGGCGGAGGCCAAGUCUCCCUCGCUGGUGGGCCAGAGCCGAGGGCCCAGCCUCCAGCCACAAGGUGAGUGGCUCGGGCCUGCCAGGCGUCUGCAGACCGCUGAGCCUGGGGUCUGCAGAGCUGAAGCCUGGGCACUGCAGGACAGUUCCAUGCUUUCCUGCGUCUGUCUGGCGGACUCGAGGGCCCGGCCAUGCCUGUUGCUGAGCCCCCAGCCCAGCUGUUCACACAGCUCCGGGGGAGGGUCCUAUGGCCUGGCCGUGUAGAUGUGGGGAGGGGGCCCUCUGGAGAUGCCAGCCCGUCCCCAAGGUGGGAGCUCUCUCCUCAGGAGAACUUGCAGCUCUCAGGGGUGGAGAAGUCACAGCUCAACCUGUGGAUGAGCAGGGCCCAGGAGUCAGCACAGCAGGGCCCACAGAACCAGAAGACGCAGUAGGAGUCGGAAGCUGACAAGAGUCCCCAGUGUAGGAAGAAGCCAGAGCCCCCGCUGGGUGCCAAGGUGUGAGGAGCCAGUCUCAGGCCAGCAGCCGCGCUGGCUGCCUCUCCCGCCCACUGUCCACACUGGACCCGGGAGGAUGCUGGCCAGCUUCCUCGCCGCCCCUCUGGGGCAGGUGUGCCCCGUGCCGGUCCGGCUGCGGGCGCUGCGCGUCUGCACAGAGCCUCGCCACCCUGUCCACGUGGGCUCCUGCUCUUCCUCCUCCUCCGGGUCCGUCAGGUCGCACCAGUGUCUCCGUGCACCUCUCCCAGGCUGGCCCCCGCCGUCCUUGUGCUGCCUGCCAGGCUGGAGGAGCCAUGCUGACCUCUCCCAGGCCCUGCCUUGCUCCCCUUCACACCCCACCUGCUGUCCUGGCUAACCCAUCCUGUGCCCCU